GUACUGAUCUGUGCCAAUUGAAAUUGAUAUAGUAGGUGAAAAUACCUAUAUAAUAGAUAAUAGACGAGAAGACCCUAGAAAUUUUUUAUAAGAUAUAAUAUUAAUAUUACUAUUUUGUUGGGGCGACAGAGUAACAUUUAAACUUACUUUAUUAUAAUAAGAACUUUUUAUAAUGUGAACAAAAAUUACUCUAGGGAUAACAGCAUAAUUAUUUAAUAGUUUGUGACCUCGAUGUUGGACUAAGGAACAUUUUAUUCAGAAGGUAAAAUAGUAUGUUCUGUUCGAACAAAUAACCCUUACAUGAUCUGAGUUCG
rnacentral:rRNA from 1 species